CUUCUUCUCCCCAACCACCAGAGUUCCUCCUCCUCCUCUUCCCAGCCACCAGAGUUCCUCCUCCUCCUCUUCUCCCCAACCACCAGAGUUCCUCCUCCUCCUCCUCUCCCCAGCCACCAGAGUUCCUCCUCCUCCUCUUCUCCCCAGCCACCAGAAGAUCCUCCUCCUCCUCUUCUCCCCAGCCACCAGAGUUCCUCCUCUCCCUCCUCCUCUCCCCAGCCACCAGAGUUCCUCCUCUCCCUCCUCCUCUCCCCAGCAACCAGAGUUCCUCCUCUCCCUCCUCCUUUCCCCAGCCACCAGAGAUCCUCCUCUCCCUCCUCCUCUCCCCAGCCACCAGAGUUCCUCCUCUCCCU
ensembl:lncRNA